CUUCAGGUGAGAUGCUCUAGAAAUGAAGUGGCCUCGCAACACAGUCUUGUGCGCAUUCCAAGUCACCUCGCCAGGAACCUCAUGAGAAGCAUUUUCCAAAAAAAAUAUUGUUCAAUACACCCUCCGCUAACGAUCUAUUUUCACUGUUAUCUAACAAAUAAUCACUCAGUUUCCAUUGUCUGUUGGGUGAGGAAGAAACUAUUUCUUCUAAAUGGAAAAUUAUGGGAGUAUGGUCGGACCAAUUGAUAUCUAAAAUAUCAGAUCUCAAGAUGUGUGGGAUGAGAACACCCUGUAUCAGAAACCUGUCCAGCCUGGACUACAUAUUUUUGGACACAGAAUAAAAAGUAGUCUCUUUCAUUCUCUUGCAUUAGCCUCCAAGGGUCAUACAAUCCACAUUCAAUCAUAUAUCUUGAACAUUUCUCAGCUAGUCUAUCACUAUCUCUCCUACAAGAUUGGGCUAAAUUUUUCCUUGCAUUAUCCAAAUCACCAUCCAUAACAAAAUUCGUGUUGCCACACAUCACCAAAGUUCCUUUGAAAUUCUCGCUUACUAGUUCCAUUAUCUUCCUGAAAAAAGUUAACUGACCCGUGUUAGGAAAAUACAUUGACUAUUGUGUACAUGACUUUAUUAACUUUACCAAUCCACAGUAAGUAUCUCCCAUCAUCGUCUGCCAUAACCUUUUCCAUAGAACUUGCCACAUUCCUGCUAAAAAAGAUAGAAGUACCCCUAGAUUUAGUUUUGUAAGUGCAAUGAAAUUGGGAUGGUAAUAACCGUGACAUGAUGUUAUAGUCUUUACCUUCUCUAAAAUGGGUCUCCUGAACACAAAUAAUAUCCGAUUUGUUGGAUUUAACUUCCUUGAACAGUAAUCGUCUCUUGUGGGUGGUGUUCAGACCUCUCACAUUAAAUGAUAAAAAUUUGAGAACCAUGGCUCAGAUCAGAAAUCACUAUUGAUGGAGAUAAAAUGAACAACAAUGUGAGAGCCCGAAGUUCCGUGCCCCAAGAGAAGUGUAAAGAAAUCCAACAAUUUUAAC